rnacentral:rRNA from 1 species
CAGUCGCCGCGGUAAUACGUAGGUGGCAAGCGUUGUCCGGAAUUAUUGGGCGUAAAGGGCCCGCAGGCGGUUUCUUAAGUCUGAUGUGAAAGCCCCCGGCUCAACCGGGGAGGGUCAUUGGAAACUGGGAAACUUGAGUGCAGGAGAGAAAAGUGGAAUUCCUAGUGUAGCGGUGAAAUGCGUAGAGAUUAGGAGGAACACCAGUGGCGAAGGCGGCUUUUUGGCCUGUAACUGACACUGAGGCGCGAAAGCGUGGGGAGCAAACAGGAUUAGAUACCCGGGUAGUCCCUGUCUCUUAUAC